rnacentral:lncRNA from 1 species
ACCAAAGGUUACAGUGAUCUGUUACAGCUGCUUCAUCCAUUUGUCAAUUGUGACUUAGUGAUACAAAUUCUAUUAUCUAUGCAUCACAACUUAAAUAUAGGAUAGAUAAAUACCAGAUAAAAUACAAAAUAUGAUAUUUCAUUGUAUUUUGGGGGAAAUAAAAUUAAGCAAGAAAAUGGGGAAUGUGUCAAUGCGACAACAACCAGACCAUAGAGCAGACAACAGCCGAAGGCCGCAAUUUGGAACUCAAAGCAAAACUCAUUGAAUUAACCAAAGAAAUACAGCAAACUAAGUUAAUAAUAUUUAGUGUAUUGACAAAAAAGAAUUAGAACUGAAAUUGAGAAAUAAGGAGGAGAAAAUGCAGAAAAAGAACAAAGACAAUGAGACUUUAACACACAAGAUCGAGAAAUUGUUGAAAGAGAUGGAG